GAUUAAGUGGUGGGAUGGGUCUAUCAAUUCAUUACUUCUCUACAAAAAUUGUGAAUAGUAAAAGAAAGGGCGCGACGAGCAAUAAGCUAAAAAUACAAAUGGAUAGACACGCAGUAUGCUACCUGAUGGAACCUUCUCAUUUCUCAGCCAGGAUGAAAUAUUUGGUGCUGCAUGGUGACACUAGUGUCAUGGGGAGUGUUGGAUGGAUGAUUAGGAAGCUAAGCAUCAGAACUAAGUGAAUAAACGUGCUUGAUUCCAACUUAUGACAAGAAACAGGAAUUCCUUUAUUUAUUUUGACCACUUCACUGAAAUCCCUUUAUGAACCUGCUUUGCUGGCAGUUAUUCAAAUUGAGACCUUACUAUUUCUUUUGCAGGUUUAAAGGGCAUCAACUUUGUGCUUUAAAAAUCAAAGGCAGUGCUUUCCUGUUGCACCAAGUUUGUUGCAUGGUUGCUGUGCUACUUAUGAUUGGCCAAGGUCUUGAAUCCCCUGAUACAGGUUGAACAGCUUGCACUACUUUACAUUUGCUUUAGCUGAAUGUCCACAAAUGACUAUAAUAUUAUAUCUGAACAAGAUGAGCACCCACAAGGGGGACCAUUUGCACUGCUUUGCAGUUGCUCUGAACAAUCUACUGUGAUUUAUGCGGGCGGGGACCAUUCCGAAGCAACAUUCAGCAUAUGUUGGUAUGCAGUAAAGCAUGAGGAAUCCUCUGUUUGAGCUAAAAUUUCCUCGUGAAUUGACAAUCCAGAUGAUAAUAUUUGCCUUUUGCUUUCCAGUUUACAACUUUGAGAAAAUUCCUCAAGUUUCAUCCUUUCACUUGGGAGAUUUUGAAAGCCAGACAAGGUCGGCUAACAAGUCCACUGGAUGCAUGAUUGGAAUAGUUUCAAUUUACAGUUAAUAGAUGCAUUACUGGACACUCGAAGGACACCAAGGAAACCCCAGUAUCUCAUGGCUCCAGAAAUUCCAUUGGUUCUUCUUCCUGUGAGUUUGAAGGUCUCAAGUUUGCAUGUUCUUCAAGUACUUGAAAUUCGAAAGACCAUUAAUAUACUGUUUUCAAGAUGUUCAGUAGCUGAGAUUAAGCGAACUCCGCCUUGUAACCUCCAACCUCUAAGGAGCUCAAUACAUGAAUUUAAUAUCUCAUAGCAGUAGUUUAGACAAGUCAUGUACUUUGGAGUUCCAUCUCUUUUCCCUCAAUGCUUGCUGAAUUGGUAGCUAAUUUAACUGCGAUGUUUGAAAUCAUUUUUGUCGAGUGUUACUGAGUUAGUGCAUAGAUGCUAGACAAGCUCUGCAUGGUCACUCGGAGAAUGAAUGUGGGCUUUACCGACUCCGGGCUGCUAUCUUUCACGAGGCUCUCUGUUGAGUCGUUUGCCUUUGUCAAAUGGUGCAGAAAGUUCUUUCUUCACCUGCUCUAAAUGAAACGUUUUAGCUACUGCUUUUAUUGGUCUACGUUGCUGAUGCCAUUUCUGACUUUUCAGAUAAAGCCUCAUCGAGUAAUGGAGUGAUAAGAUAGAAAGCCUCUCAUGCCCCUCUCAUGUCAAGAACAACUGAGCUCAAGUCCUCCUACCACACCUCAAAUAUCAUCAUGGUUCUACUUCAAAGAUGGAAUUGUGCGUGCGUUGUCUUUAAGUGUCAUUGAAUUCUCUCUUUAUAAAAAGGCUGGAUGUGAUAAAAUUUAGACUUGCAAGUCGGCCAGUAUCAUUUUUACAACCUGUACAGACCACCUUCAAAAUAAAUGUUCAGCAAAAAAAAAAAAAAAA